UACGUAGGGGGCAAGCGUUGUCCGGAUGUAUUGGGCGUAAAGAGCGUGUAGGCGGCUAGAUAGGUCCGUUGUGAAAACUCGAGGCUCAACCUCGAGAUGUCGAUGGAAACCGUCUGGCUAGAGUCCGGAAGAGGAGUGUGGAAUUCCUGGUGUAGCGGUGAAAUGCGCAGAUAUCAGGAAGAACGCCUAUGGCGAAGGCAGCACUCUGGGACGGUACUGACGCUGAGACGCGAAAGCGUGGUGAGCGAACAGG
rnacentral:rRNA from 1 species